rnacentral:rRNA from 1 species
AAGUCGUAACAAGGUUUCCGUAGGUGAACCUGCGGAAGGAUCAUUACUGAAUUGUCAAACGGGUUGUUGCUGGCCCUCAUAGGGGGCAUGUGCACGCUCUGUUUACACAUCCACUCACACCUGUGCACCCUCUGUAGUUCUAUGGUCUGGGGGACCCUGUCUUCCUUCUGUGGUUCUACGUCUUUACACACACACUGUAAUAAAGUUUUAUGGAAUGUACAUCGCGUCUAACGCAAUACAAUACAACUUUCAGCAACGGAUCUCUUGGCUCUCGCAUCGAUGAAGAACGCAGCGAAAUGCGAUAAGUAAUGUGAAUUGCAGAAUUCAGUGAAUCAUCGAAUCUUUGAACGCACCUUGCGCCCCUUGGCUAUUCCGAGGGGCAUGCCUGUUUGAGUAUCAUGAACACCUCAACUCUCAUGGUUUGCCAUGAUGAGUUGGACUCUGGGGGUUUUGCUGGCCUGUGGUCGGCUCCUCUCAAAUUAAUCAGCCUCCCAGUGUUUGGUGGCAUCACGGGUGUGAUAAAUAUCUACGCUCGCUGUUGUCUGCCAGGUAACCUUUGGUCACAAAGGUUUGCUGGAGCUCACAGAUGUCUCUCCUCAGCGAGGACAGCUUUUUUAACGUUCGAUCUCAAAUCAGGUAGGACUACCCGCUGAACUUAA